AUUGAACGCUGGCGGCAGGCCUAACACAUGCAAGUCGGACGGUAGCACAGAGGAGCUUGCUCCUCGGGUGACGAGUGGCGGACAGGUGAGUAAUGUCUGGGGAUCUGCCCGAUAGAGGGGGAUAACCACUGGAAACGGUGGCUAAUACCGCAUAACGUCGCAAGACCAAAGAGGGGGACCUUCGGGCCUCUCACUAUCGGAUGAACCCAGAUGGGAUUAGCUAGUAGGCGGGGUAAUGGCCCACCUAGGCGACGAUCCCUAGCUGGUCUGAGAGGAUGACCAGCCACCCUGGAACGGAGACACGGUCCAGACUCCUACGGGAGGCAGCAGUGGGGAAUAUUGCACAAUGGGCGCAAGCCUGAUGCAGCCAUGCCGCGUGUAUGAAGAAGGCCUUCGGGUUGUAAAGUACUUUCAGCGGGGAGGAAGGCGAUAAGGUUAAUAACCUUGUCGAUUGACGUUACCCGCAGAAGAAGCACCGGCUAACUCCGUGCCAGCCGCCGCCGUAA
rnacentral:rRNA from 1 species